rnacentral:lncRNA from 1 species
GGGCUUAGUUCUUCUUCCAGAUGAUAGCCAGCACUUUCCCUUUGCCUUUCUCAUUUUCACGGCCUAUACAGAUACUUUUAUUACUAGUUCUCUGAUACUAGAUAGCAGUAAGCUACCCUGAAACCUCAGUCUUUCUACAGGGCUCAUUGUUUUCCUGUCCCAGAUGCAUGCCACUAUCUCCCCCUCUUAUAUGCCUGCUUCUUGAUUCUGAAAUACUUGCAGACAUAUGGAUGCAGCUGCAAUGAUCUCUUGCUACACUAUCUGCCUGUCCUCCACAUUAGGAUCCUGUGACAUUUAAUAACAUCUCUUCCACAAAGCACCAGUCCUCCACUGCUUCCUCCUUUUCAUUAUCUUCAUAAAAAAGUCCCUUGCUAGCUCAGCUUCUGAUGCUGAUCCUUCCUUGUUCCAUCCCCCCAGGAAAGUGCAUUGCAUCAUUUCAUAAUCAACUUAAUGCAAAUCCUCUGUCAUCUCAGAUGAUCUCAGGCAGUUGCUCUCCUUCUUCCUUAAUCAAAGUUGAGUCUAACACAGCGUUGACCUCAAUAUAAAUCCUCUCACCUCCUUAAAUCCUUCAAGUGUCAUCAAAUUUCUCUCCACAGUGAUUGAAUCAGGUAUCAGGAUGUGUAACACGUAGAUCCCACAAUACAGUAUUUAUGGUAGACUAGCUUUCUAGAAGAAUAUAACUGUAUUUCAGCUCCUCUUUUCUUCCCUUUUUCCUUCUCAGUGUAUUCGUUUAGUGAGACUUUGCCUGCAUCUCUGAUGUUGGGGAAAUAGAUGCAGAUGCUGUGCUAAGCAUGGCCAAAUUUACCUUCAGUGAAAUCCCAAGGAGCUUCUUCAGCUUUCAUGGAGUAUUCUUCCAAAGUAAAACCCCUCAUAUGCAUUUAUACCUUCUAAGGAUGCAGGAUAUGAAGAGAAAUUUGAACAGCAGCACUGUUAGCUGGUGCUGUCCUUCUUCCCCUUGACUUGGAUGGGAGUGACACAGGAACAUCAGAAGUUUUGGCUUUCUGUAAGUAAUUUCAUAACAGCCUUG